rnacentral:lncRNA from 1 species
GGGGGGGGGGGGGGGGGGGGGGGGGGGGGGGGGGGGGGGGGGGGUAUGGGAUGGGCAGAGGCCAGUUCUGGGCUGGGGCAGCAGGGGGCAGCACGGGGACGGGGACGGGGACAGGGAUGGGACAGGGAUGGGACAGGGAUGGGGACAGGGAUGGGACAGGGAUGAGCGAGCAUGGAAAAGGGAUGAGGGUGGGGGCAGAACAGGGACAGGGAAGAGGGAGCAGCAGGGGGACAGGGAUGCGGCACAGAGGCGUCAUGGGGACAGGGAAGGGGACAGGGGCGGGUGGGGUGUCUGAGGACAGGGAUGGGCAAGAUCGGAAGAGCGUCGUGUGCUCGGAGGGGACCGCUCGGAGGGCACAGAGCAGCAGCGGUGGCCCUGGAUCACCCCGGCCUUGUCCUCUUGUCCCUGGGCAGGUGGGCGGAGGGGACAGUGGGGACAGUGGGAACAACUGUGCCCUGACCAACCUGCCCCAGCUCCCCCUGGGGCCCCCAAACCCCGCAGGUCCCCGACCCUCAGUCUCUUCUGACAGGGGUGGGCUGGCUCUCCCCGUCCCUGCUUCCUGCUGCCUCCUCGGGACCCCCGCCCCUGUCACCUCCUCAUCACCCUCCUGCAUCCCCGUUCCUGCUGCCCGUGUCCCUGCGGCACCGGCACAGGAUCCGUGCGGGGCUAUUCCUGUCACCAAAGGGACUGGGAAAGGGAAUAUUCCUGGGCAUCAUCUCCCAUCCUGGUGCCUCCCACCCUGGCAUGUCCCAUCUCCCAUUCUGCCAUCUCCCUAUCCAGCCUGUCUGGGCCCGGAAUCCGAGUUUUCCCAUCGGAGCAUCCCCCCCGCAGGGGUCCAGCGUCUCCCUGCGGGUUUGUCUUUUUUCCUAGAGAAAGGCCAUCCUUUAAUCCCAGCGCUUUUGCCCGAAGGGCUGAGCUGCAGGUGGGGACACCGGUGUCACCUCCAUGAUGCCACCAUGACCGGGGGUCCCAAAGCCCAGCUCAGCUCCAGCCUGGACUCAGUCGUUCCUGGAAAAUCCAGGAAAAGGGCAAAUCCAUGUCAACCCCAGCACACAACCCCCCCAGGACGUUCCCUAUGCACUAAAUAAUUAAGUGCUAGUAAUUCCUCAGCUAAUUAAGUGCCUCAGGCCAUCAGAUGUCCCUCAACAUGUGAUGUGCUGCUCCCCGUAUCCCAAAAAGACUGGGAUGGGGCUGCAGGGGGGGAGAUGGAGCUCAUGGUCCGCGCCCUCCACGGUCCCCAGCUCAUCCCUGAUGUCCCAGUAAGACCAGACUGGGCUAAACUGGGCUGGGGGCAUCAAUGCCACCGGCAAACCAGGCUGGUCCUUGCAUGGGGAAACUGAGGCACGCAGCAGCUAUGGCCCAAUCCCGUCAGCGCAGGUGUCCCCCUCACCGUGUCCCCUCACACUCGGGGUCGUGGUGGCUCUUGCCUCAUCGUUCCUGGACUGUCACCGCCGGUUCACCCUCCGGGGCACAAACUUGCUAAACCUGAUUAAAGUUUCAGUUCGGCCCCGGUGAGAAAAAAAUACAGAGAAGGACAAAAAAAAAAAAAAAAAAAAAAAGAAAAUCCAUUUAACCGGGGGGGGGGGGGGGGGGGGGGGGGGGGGGGGGGGGGGGGGGGGGGGGGGGGGGGGGGGGGGGGGGGGGGGGGGGGGGGGGGGGGGGGGGGGGGGGGGGGGGGGGGGGGGGGGGGGGGGGGGGGGGGGGGGGGGGGGGGGGGGGGGGGGGGGGGGGGGGGGGGGGACAAAAAAAAAAAAAAAAAGAAAGAAAAUCCAUUUAACCUGUUUUUCACCCAAAUCGGACAGCGAGCAGCCCCGCAGGGUCCUGGUCCCAGGGGAUCCCCAGGAGGCGGUGACCCUGCGCCCUCCCGCCUGCUCCUGCACCCUCUGCCCGCUCCGGGCAGGGGACAGCCCCG